AUUGAACGCUGGCGGCAGGCCUAACACAUGCAAGUCGAACGGUAACAGGAAACAGCUUGCUGUUUCGCUGACGAGUGGCGGACGGGUGAGUAAUGUCUGGGAAACUGCCUGAUGGAGGGGGAUAACUACUGGAAACGGUAGCUAAUACCGCAUAACGUCGCAAGACCAAAGAGGGGGACCUUCGGGCCUCUUGCCAUCGGAUGUGCCCAGAUGGGAUUAGCUAGUAGGUGGGGUAACGGCUCACCUAGGCGACGAUCCCUAGCUGGUCUGAGAGGAUGACCAGCCACACUGGAACUGAGACACGGUCCAGACUCCUACGGGAGGCAGCAGUGGGGAAUAUUGCACAAUGGGCGCAAGCCUGAUGCAGCCAUGCCGCGUGUAUGAAGAAGGCCUUCGGGUUGUAAAGUACUUUCAGCGGGGAUGAAGGGAGUAAAGUUAAUACCUUUGCUCAUUGACGCUACCCGCAGAAGAAGCACCGGCUAACUCCGUG
rnacentral:rRNA from 1 species